rnacentral:rRNA from 1 species
UACGUAGGUGGCAAGCGUUGUCCGGAUUUAUUGGGUUUAAAGGGUGCGUAGGCGGCUUUGUAAGUCAGUGGUGAAAUAUGGCAGCUCAACUGUCAAGGUGCCAUUGAUACUGCGGAGCUUGAGUACAGAUGAGGUAGGCGGAAUUGACGGUGUAGCGGUGAAAUGCUUAGAUAUCGUCAAGAACACCUAUAGCGAAGGCAGCUUACUAGGCUGUAACUGACGCUGAGGCACGAAAGUGUGGGGAGCGAACAGG